rnacentral:rRNA from 1 species
UACGGAGGGUGCAAGCGUUAAUCGGAAUUACUGGGCGUAAAGGGUGUGUAGGUGGGUGUUUAAGUUAGCUGUGAAAGGCCUGAGCUUAACUUAGGAAGGCCAGCUAAGACUGGACGUCUAGAGUAUAGGAGAGGGUAGUGGAAUUUCCGGUGUAGCGGUGAAAUGCGUAGAGAUCGGAAGGAACAUCGGUGGCGAAGGCGGCUACCUGGCCUGAUACUGACACUGAGGCACGAAAGCGUGGGGAGCAAACAGG